UGGGGAAUAUUGCACAAUGGGGGAAACCCUGAUGCAGCAACGCCGCGUGAAGGAUGAAGGUUUUCGGAUCGUAAACUUCUAUCGAUGGGGAAGAAUAAAUGACGGUACCCAAAUAAGAAGCCCCGGCUAACUACGUGCCAGCAGCCGCGGUAAUACGUAGGGGGCAAGCGUUAUCCGGAAUUACUGGGUGUAAAGGGUGAGUAGGCGGCUUGGAUAGUCAUAUGUGAAAUUCCGGGGCUUAACCUCGGAACUGCAUAAGAAACUUCCAGACUAGAGUACAGGAGAGGUAAGCGGAAUUCCAAGUGUAGCGGUGAAAUGCGUAGAUAUUUGGAAGAACACCGGUGGCGAAGGCGGCUUACUGGACUGAAACUGACGCUGAGUCACGAAAGCGUGGGGAGCGAACA
rnacentral:rRNA from 1 species